CUCCAAGAAGGCAGUUUGCUCUCUAACACAGUGUAUUUUAUUUCUUGAAGGGUUGUCCUUGGAAAAAAGUAUAUGAGUGCAGAAAAGAUUUAAAGUAGCACUGCAAUCUCCUAUAUAGAACAUAGAAAUGUGACACACAGCUAUGCCGUUCACCUGCAGCACAGCCAUCAGACAAGUGAAGAGGAUGGAGCACUGCUGCACUCUUGCAUUUAGCAAUCACUGCAAUAAUGACAACAAGCAUCUCCCUUUUCCUGAGAACAGAGAUUGGGCUGGGGAUGAAACAUAACCUCUAGGAUGCCAAGGAGGGUCUUGGUAUUUCGCACAGCCAGCUCUCCUCCUGAACCACAGCAAAUGCAAUGCCUGACCCAGGAUGGCCACCUCUCACUAGUUUCAGGGAAAGAUAAGUUGUCUCUAGCCACGUUGCCAAAUUGCUUGUUUGGGUCCCACUGAAGCUCACCUUUGACUGCUGCCCUCAUGUAUUCCUUCCCUAUUCAUCCCUUGUGUGAUCUCUGCAGGGGUUUCAUUACAAAUCAGUCUUUUCCACUUUUUAAAAACUUACAGUGAAGAUCACUUGACAUUCACAGUCUUUCCAGUGCUCCUCAAACCUCGCGUUACACCUGAACGUUUUCACUGCCCGAAUCUGGCCUGUACUUCAGCUUAAUGGAAAAAUUGAAUGGUGCUUAAGUUUUGGAGAAAGUCUGGAGCCUUCAGCUGUAAAUUUUUCUUGUGUUACAUGUCUUCAAGGUCCAUUCAUAUUUUACCUUAUAAACGACAAAACAACGCUGCUAUUUAUUAAUAACAAUGGUGCUCUCAUAAUUUUGAUUGAAAAACAGUGGUGUAGGGGUGAUGAUUGCUAAAUAUGACUCCCAUGUUCUCCCCAGGGCCUGGGCAGAGUGAGGCAGAGUGCAGUGCUGGAGUCUCCCUGAUCCUCCUAUGGAUAUCAGCAGCUGCCACAUCUGGAGUCUGCAGCAAAGCUCCUUCCUCUAGAGGCCAAGAGCUGAGCCUACUGUUUCCAGCAAGACGUAUGGUGCUGGAAAUGUAAGGAGCACAGCUGAGGAAGGUGCACUGAGCACAGUGCAGCAGAGGACUUUUUGCAGCCUGCAAACACUGGCCUUGCUACAAACUGGUCUGUUAUUGCCAUCUACUGGAUAAAUCCUACUGCAUUCGAAUUUGAAGAUGAAGAGUGCGUUCUUACUAAGAAAAUACUUGUGGGGUUCUUCUUUGUGUGUGUGUGUGUGUGUGUGUGUUUUUGCAGUUCACUUCUAUGGGAUCAUAUAUAACUUCCUUCUCUCUUUG
rnacentral:lncRNA from 1 species